CGAAAGCCUGACGGAGCAACGCCGCGUGCGGGAGGAAGGCCUUAGGGUUGUAAACCGCUUUUCUCAGGGAAGAAGAUCUGACGGUACCUGAGGAAUCAGCCUCGGCUAACUCCGUGCCAGCAGCCGCGGUAAUACGGAGGAGGCAAGCGUUAUCCGGAAUUAUUGGGCGUAAAGCGUCCGCAGGGGGCGCAUCAAGUCUGCUGUUAAAGGUCGGAGCUAAACUCCGGUAGAGCAGUGGAAACUGGUGCGCUAGAGGGCGACAGGGGUAGAGGGAAUUCCCAGUGUAGCGGUGAAAUGCGUAGAGAUUGGGAAGAACACCGGUGGCGAAAGCGCUCUACUGGGUCGCACCUGACCCUCAGGGACGAAAGCUAAGGUAGCG
rnacentral:rRNA from 1 species